GAUGAACGCUGGCGGCGUGCCUAACACAUGCAAGUCGAACGGAGUUAUAUGAAGUUUUCGGACGGAAUGUAACUUAGUGGCGGACGGGUGAGUAACGCGUGGGUAACCUGCCUCAUACAGGGGGAUAACAGUUGGAAACGGCUGCUAAAACCGCAUAAGCAUACAUUGCCGCAUGGCAGAGUGUGAAAAUAUUUAUAGGUAUGAGAUGGGCCCGCGUCUGAUUAGCUAGUUGGUAAGGUAACGGCUUACCAAGGCGACGAUCAGUAGCCGGCUUGAGAGAGUGACCGGCCACAUUGGGACUGAGACACGGCCCAAACUCCUACGGGAGGCAGCAGUGGGGAAUAUUGCACAAUGGGGGAAACCCUGAUGCAGCGACGCCGCGUGAGUGAAGAAGUAUUUCGGUAUGUAAAGCUCUAUCAGCAGGGAAGAAAUUGACGGUACCUGACUAAGAAGCCCCGGCUAACUACGUGCCAGCCGCCGCCGUAAAAC
rnacentral:rRNA from 1 species